rnacentral:rRNA from 1 species
AUGCAAGUAAGUAGAACGGACCAUCAACAUCCGGGAUGCGCGAGCGAGCACGCACCAAUUCCUUUCAGAAACUGGACGGGACAAAAAUCAUGGUGUACAGCACAAGAAAACCACGAGCACCGGAGAAGAAAUCAACAAGCAGAACUCGCCAUGGCCAAUGGAGGAGGGGAAGGGGAAGGGAUGAUCGGAACGGUCGAGGUCGUCACUGUCGCUGCGCGGAGGCGGAGGAGUUGGAGGAAGGAGACGGGAUCCUGUCGAUGGCCUGGAGCACGUCCUUCAUGGCGGGCCGCUUGCCGGGCGCCGCGGCGCAGCACGCGAACCCCAGCCUCAGGCAGCUCGCCAGCGUCUCCUCCCUGCCCUCCAUCUCCCCCCGCAGCGCCGCGUCCGCCAGCAGGAACGCCUGCUGCCCGCUGUCCUCCCCCGCCGCCCACUGGCAGAGCUCCACGCUCGUCAGCGCGCGCCCGGCCACCAGUUCGAGCAGUACCAUGCCGAACGAGUACACGUCCCACUUGGUGCUCGGCUUCGUCGGGUUCUUGGCCGCCUCCGGCGCCUGGUAGUGCGCGGCCGCCUCCGCGGAGGAGGAAGGCCCGGCGCCGGCCAGCGGGCUCGCCCCUCCUCCUGCUGUCCCGGGUGGCGGCGGCGACAGGUCCGGCAGGCUCUUGGCCGACCGCUUGCUCCCGAACCGCCCCGCCGGCUUCAGCCUGCUGUCCCCGGCGCCGCGGACCAGCCGGUGGAUGCCCAGGUCGGCCAGCAGCGGCUCCAUGUCCGCGUCCAGGAGGAUGUUGCUGGGCCUCACGUUGCCGUGCACGCACUUCUUGUCGUGGAGGUAGGCCAGGCCGCUCGCCACGCCUCGCGCGAUGCGCAGCCGCGCGCUCCACCCGAGGCUCAUCGGCGGCGUCCCCGGCUUCCCUGCUCAGCGAUCCAUCGAGCCGCGUCAGCAAUGCGCAGCCAACGCUAAAUGAAAUUAAUGGCGCGUCUACGUCGAGUUGGGUUGCGUGCUUACUUUUCACGGAGGCGUUUGCGAGGCUGCCAUUGGCGGCCAGGUCGUGGAUGAGGAGCAUCUCGUCGGGGCCCCAGUAG